rnacentral:rRNA from 1 species
UAGGGGGCAAGCGUUGUCCGGAAUUAUUGGGCGUAAAGCGCGCGCAGGCGGUUCUUUAAGUCUGGUGUUUAAACCCGAGGCUCAACUUCGGGACGCACUGGAAACUGGGGAACUUGAGUGCAGAAGAGGAGAGUGGAAUUCCACGUGUAGCGGUGAAAUGCGUAGAUAUGUGGAGGAACACCAGUGGCGAAGGCGACUCUCUGGGCUGUAACUGACGCUGAGGCGCGAAAGCGUGGGGAGC